GGGUACGAUCAUACUCGCACUAAUGCACCUGAUCCCAUAAGAACUCCGCAGUGAAGCGUGCUUGGGCGAGAGUAGUACUAGGAUGGGUGACCUCCCGGGAAGCUCUCGUGUUGCACCCC
rnacentral:rRNA from 1 species